rnacentral:rRNA from 1 species
GACGAACGCUGGCGGCGUGCUUAACACAUGCAAGUCGAGCGGUAAGGCCCUUUCGGGGGUACACGAGCGGCGAACGGGUGAGUAACACGUGGGUGACCUGCCCUCAGCUCUGGGAUAAGCCUGGGAAACCGGGUCUAAUACCGGAUAUGACUCCAUGACGCAUGUUGUGGGGUGGAAAGCCUUGUGCGGCUGAGGAUGGGCCCGCGGCCUAUCAGCUUGUUGGUGGGGUGAUGGCCUACCAAGGCGACGACGGGUAGCCGGCCUGAGAGGGCGACCGGCCACACCUGGGACUGAGACACGGCCCAGACUCCUACGGGAGGCAGCAGUGGGGAAUCUUGCGCAAUGGGCGAAAGCCUGACGCAGCGACGCCGCGUGAGGGAUGA